rnacentral:rRNA from 1 species
AAGAAGGCCUUCGGGUUGUAAAGCUCUGUCGGAGGGGACGAAAAUACUUAGGGUUAACAGCCCUAGGAACUGACGGUACCCUUAAAGGAAGCACCGGCUAACUCUGUGC